AAUCCCCCACUCAUAUCUUUGUAAAAAUAUUAUGCUUACAUUCAUAUGUAUAUGCUGAGUAUAUGAAUAGUCUUCUAGAUUCACGAAGUUGUUCAGAAACAGAAUCAAUUCACAUAUAGAUUUUUAUUUUGUUCAUGAUCCUGUUGUGUUUUUGAUAAACAUAUGCAUAUAUGAUAGCGCUGAUGAAAAAAUUAGUAAUUGUUUUAAAAUAUCAUAAGAUUUGGAGCAUCCUAGGAUGAAAAGAGAAGCAAGCACAUAGAUAUAAAAAUUUGAUCAUUGUGAUAAACCAUAUUGUCUUCAAUUAAUUCUAGCAGAGGAAGUAACAGGCUCUUAUGAGUUAUGACAUCCUUGAGCUGCGGAAACAUGAUCAAGGUGUGAUUCAUUGGUUUCUUCAGUUUAGAAUCUACAAAAUUCAUGUUCUAUCAAUUUUGUGUUCUACUUUUUGAAUCUUCAGUUGUAAAAAGAAAGAACAAAUAUAGCAAUGUGACAAUUUUUAGUGAAUGAAGCUAUUUUACUUACGUUU